UACGUAGGGAGCGAGCGUUGUCCGGAAUCAUUGGGCGUAAAGCGCGCGUAGGCGGCCCGAUAAGUCCGUUGUGAAAGUCAAAGGCUCAACCUUUGAAUGCCGAUGGAUACUGUCGGGCUAGAGUCCGGAAGAGGCGAGUGGAAUUCCUGGUGUAGCGGUGGAAUGCGCAGAUAUCAGGAGGAACACCAAUAGCGAAGGCAGCUCGCUGGGACGGUACUGACGCUAAGGCGCGAAAGCGUGGGGAGCGGACAGG
rnacentral:rRNA from 1 species